AUAGAGUUGGCAGAAAUAAUGUGAAUAAUUUAGGUUUAUUUUAUAAGAAACAAUCUUACUCUAUA
rnacentral:tRNA from 1 species